rnacentral:rRNA from 1 species
GAUGAACGCUGGCGGCGCGCCUAACACAUGCAAGUCGAACGGUUAAAGCACCUUUUUGGUGUGUAUAAGGUGGCGAACGGCUGAGGAACACGUGGGCAACCUGCCCUCCUCUUGGGGAUAGCCUCGGGAAACCGAGGAUAAUACCCGAAACUUCAAUGUGGCCGCAUGACGACGUUGAGAAAGCUUUUGCGGGGAGGGAUGGGCCCGCGGCCUGUUAGCUUGUUGGUGGGGUAGAGGCCUACCAAGGCAAUGAUGGGUAGCCGGGUUGAGAGACCGACCAGGCAGAUUGGGACUUGGAAACGGCCCAGACUUCUACGGGAGGGAGGAGGGGGGAAUCUUGCAAAAUGGGCGAAAGCCUGAUGCAGCGACGCCGCGUGCGGGACGAAGGCCUUCGGGUUGGAAACCGCUUUCAGCAGGGACGAGGCGAUAAGUGACGGUACCUGCAGAAGAAGCCCCGGCUAACUACGUG